rnacentral:rRNA from 1 species
UGGGGAAUAUUGCACAAUGGGCGCAAGCCUGAUGCAGCCAUGCCGCGUGUGUGAAGAAGGCCUUCGGGUUGUACAGCACUUUCAGCGGGGAGGAAGGCGAUAAGGUUAAUAACCUUGUCGAUUGACGUUACCCGCAGAAGAAGCACCGGCUAACUCCGUGCCAGCAGCCGCGGUAAUACGGAGGGUGCAAGCGUUAAUCGGAAUUACUGGGCGUAAAGCGCACGCAGGCGGUCUGUCAAGUCGGAUGUGAAAUCCCCGGGCUCAACCUGGGAACUGCAUUCGAAACUGGCAGGCUAGAGUCUUGUAGAGGGGGGAAGAAUUCCAGGUGUAGCGGUGAAAUGCGUAGAGAUCUGGAGGAAUACCGGUGGCGAAGGCGGCCCCCUGGACAAAGACUGACGCUCAGGUGCGAAAGCGUGGGGAGCAAACAGG